rnacentral:lncRNA from 1 species
GAUGGUGCAAGGAGUGCAUCCGGUGAGAAGAGAAGGCCUGGAAUUCAUCAAAAAGUCGCGCGCAAAUGCAACAUUUGUAAGGAAAUGGCGUUUCAUGAUGCAAGAACAUGUUCUAAGAAACAAAAAACAAAACAGUAGAGGUUUGUGCUGCUUCUUGCUUCGAAGACUACCACUUAUUUGUCUUGCUAUGACCGCUCAACUAGGCUGAUUAAAAUGAUUAGGCAUACAUAAAUCAUUUACCAAAUAUAUGUGCGCCUUCCAUUUUUUUACUGUCCUAUGGUAUGGCUACAACAAGGAUGUGUGUAUGUGCUUUGAUACUAAUCCUUCGUCCAUGACAUGAGCCAAUCUGCCAUCUUGUUCAUUUAUUUUUUCCCAUGCUUCUGUGGUUUUCUUAUUAUUACAAGAUAUAAUAUAAUGCAUGCCAUCAGGUUUUUUGUUUAUAGCUAUCAAAUUUGAAUAAUAAUUUGCAUCUGCAGGGGUAGUCAUAAAACGCCCUUUAAAUUGCUCAAUGCCACUUAUUUGUCAUUCUCAUUUGUGCUUUUAACUAAUCAUGGAAUUGUAAUCCAAUUAUUAUAGGUCAAUAAUGGAAUGACGAACAAAAUAUUUGUACUCUCUUUGUUACACAUAUCCAACUAUCACAUGCCAUUUUAUUUGAUUUGAAAACUCCCUCCUAGAUGCUGGAAAGCCAGUUUAACUUACAAAGUUAUCCUUAUUGGUUACAUAUGUAUUAAUAUGUUUCAAGAAUUUCAUCCUAAUUUUGACAUAUAGGUUAUGUAUCCUAGGUUGAAGUGCUGAAUGCAGCUAGACAUAUAUAAUGAUUGUCUCUCUUCUCGAGAUAUGCUAUUUGGUAUAUGUUUCUGAUUGACACCUAUUCACUUGGUGUGUUUACCUAGGUAGGUCGAACUGAUCAAGUCUAUAAGAGUCCAAUCUCUCCCAGCAGGAAGCUCGAUUACCAGGAAGCACUAACACGAGGCAGAAUGAUAUAUAUUUUCGGUCUUGUACCAGCAAGAUGCUUGUUGGGCGAUGAUAAUUUCAGUCUUUACCACUUGGUCUUGCCGGCCAUAUACUAAAAAUGAUCUGUAUG